rnacentral:rRNA from 1 species
UGAGGAAUAUUGGGCAAUGCCCGCAAGGGUGACCCAGCAACGCCGCGUGGAGGAUGAAUGUCGUAAGAUUGUAAACUCCUGUUAGAGGGGAAGAAUAGUACCGGUUGGACCGGUAUAUGACUGUACCCUCAGAGAAAGCCCCGGCUAACUACGUGCCAGCAGCCGCGGUAAUACGUAGGGGGCAAGCGUUGUCCGGAUUUACUGGGUGUAAAGAGCGCGCAGGCGGGAUAAAAAGUCAGUGGUGAAAUCCUACAGCUUAACUGUAGAACUGCCUUUGAUACUUUUAUUCUUGAGUUCGGGAGAGAGAGACGGAAUUCCAGGUGUAGUGGUGAAAUACGUAGAUAUCUGGAAGAACACCAGUUGCGAAGGCGGUCUCUUGGUCCGACACUGACGCUGAGGCGCGAAAGCGUGGGGAGCAAACA